rnacentral:rRNA from 1 species
UGGUAACAGGGAGGAGGAGGGGAUGAUGUCAGGUCCGUAUUUCCNUNANAUNNGGGGCUACAAACACGNUACAAUGGCCGGNACAAAGGGCAGCCAAGUNGCAAGACGGAGCAAAUCCCAUCAAAGCCGGUCCCAGUUCGGAUAGCAGGCUGAAACUCGCCUGCUUGAAGUCGGAAUCGCUAGUAACGGUAGGUCAGCUAUACUACCGUGAAUACGUUCCCGGGUCUUGUACACACCGCCCGUCAAACCAUGAAAGUCGCCAA